UCAGCAAAAAAGACUAUUCAACCACAGCCUGGUACUUUACUGUGUCUUCUACGGCGACCUCUAGUGGGUGAAGUUGGCAGCAGGUUUGGCUCUGCUGGAGCAGGUCAGGUUCACCCAGCUACCUGGUGACACCAAACCUGAUGGACUGAUCCUCGCUGAGGUGUCUUUGGGAGCAUCUGAAGAAAAUAGUAGUUGGAAGAACAGGUGAUGUUGCAUCCAUCGUGCUUGUCAGACAGAGUGAUGGUCGUCUGGAUUUUAGUCGUAAAGGUUCG